rnacentral:lncRNA from 1 species
CGCCGUUACUCUGGAAAAAUCACUCCAAAACCCUCAUUAAAAAGCUCCGUUUUGAACUUGUUGAGAUUUUCACACCGAAGCUCAACAAGCUCGAGCUAGACCCCUGCUAAACCAAAGCAAUCACUACAUCAGUAAUAAGCGAAGGAAAAGAAGAACGUCAGGGAGAGGAUCCCAGGAGAAGAAAAACAAAAAGAGACUGAAGAAGAUCGCUUACCCGAGGUACGUUCACGGAUACCGGACGUCCGUCAAAGUUGUGAAAUUUCAGCGAAUCCUCUUCUCGUCUCUUUGAUUGUUUUAGCAUCGUAACCUUUGUGUAGUUUUGUUGCCCAUGUUGUGAUUUGCUGAUCUUAUUGUUGUUUGUCAACGUGAGAAAUGGGUUAAGGAUCUAGGUAGACCUUCUUUGAGGUCAGAUUUGCUAUGUUUGCUAGAUCCAGUUGAAGUUUUAGAAGUCUGAAAGGAUUAGGAGCGUUUUUUUUGUGUUGGUCAUUUUUAAAACUUCAUGCGAUACUGAAACAGAUCGGUUGCCUCGCGAUUUCCUUGUUUUCUCUCUUCGUCUUUAGACUAGGAAUGGGGCGUGUUUAAGAAGGAGAAAGUUUUUUUUUCAGAAGAACAAAGGGUCAUUUUAAGAGAGAGGGAGACGGCUGGGCUAAUAAUGCUCACUGUGGCAUUCCCUUAGUUAUUAUUAUUAUUAUUCAUAGUAAAUGAUGAUGAUAAGUGCAUAUUAACCCACUU